GAAAGUUAUAUUUUUAAAUAUAAGAAACUUGAGAAAUGAAAAUUUUAAUUUUUUUUUCAAAAUCUAAAUAUCCGAACCAGAUCCGAAAUAACCGUAUCCGAACUAAAAAUACCCGAACCCGACCCGAAGUACAGAAAUACCAGAACGGGUUCUACACCUCUAUACUGAAAUACCCAAAAAUCCGAAAUAUCCGAUCCGAACCCGAACGGGUACCCAAGGCUAAACUAAAUCAAUAAUUAUUGUCCCCUAGCUAUAUAUGGGCUUAACGAAAUCGAUAAUAGUUUUGGGCUUGUCUACAUAAGCGAUUGAUUAAAAUAAAUGAAAAAGAAAAAUUCAAAAAAACCAGCCAAUAGAAUUAUAACGUUUUCCCUGAGAAGCUCUAUAUGAGUGACACCUCAGCAGAAAUCACUAAAGUGACUUCUCUUUUAAUGUAUAGGGGGAUAAUGCAAUGGCACUACCAAAAAAAAAAAUUUAACUCUAACAAAACUCAAAUGAAGUUAGCGGAGAUACACUAAUAUUAAGGGUAGUUGCACCCAGUAUACACAAAAAAAAACAAAAUUCACUAACUAACUAAAAACACCCUCUCUCUCCUACUUUUUCUUCCUAUCUCUCUCUAUUCUCUCUCUAAAAAUCUAAUUUCAUUUUUUUUUGGCUAUUUAGCAAAUAAGCCCUAAUAUUAAUUACCUCGUACUUUAAUAUUUUUUGUGUGGAAAUUUUACGUUUACAAGUGUGGGUGGUCUAAACGAGUUUUGUAGAAUUGGUC
rnacentral:lncRNA from 1 species